GUGGGGAAUCUUGCGCAAUGGGCGAAAGCCUGACGCAGCCAUGCCGCGUGAAUGAUGAAGGUCUUAGGAUUGUAAAAUUCUUUCACCGGGGACGAUAAUGACGGUACCCGGAGAAGAAGCCCCGGCUAACUUCGUGCCAGCAGCCGCGGUAAUACGAAGGGGGCUAGCGUUGCUCGGAAUUACUGGGCGUAAAGGGCGCGUAGGCGGACAGUUAAGUUGGGGGUGAAAGCCCGGGGCUCAACCUCGGAACUGCCUUCAAUACUGGCUGUCUUGAGUAUGAGAGAGGUGUGUGGAACUCCGAGUGUAGAGGUGAAAUUCGUAGAUAUUCGGAAGAACACCAGUGGCGAAGGCGACACACUGGCUCAUUACUGACGCUGAGGCACGAAAGCGUGGGGAGCAAACAGGAUUAGAAACCCGAGUAGUCC
rnacentral:rRNA from 1 species